rnacentral:lncRNA from 1 species
AUUUUGUGUAUUAUAUACAAUGUAAAUUAUAUGCUAUUUUAUCAUGUGCUCCAACUCAGUCAAAAAUAUGCAGUUCUUUCAUGUCACUGAGCAUCGUGUUUCAGAUAUAUGUGAGUUAGCUGGAAGGAUGAAAGAUAGCAUACUUUAAUCAGACCCACCACAUGGUCCAGCUGAAUUGAGCCCUCAACCCUAGGCUGUUAAAGGUAAAAAGACUUAUUUCCUAGUUAUGGUACAAAAGUUUAGUGCUAGUGUGGGCAACGUAGCAAGACCUGUCUCUUAAAAAGUGUGUGUGUGUAGGGAGAGGGCAGGGGAGUGGCAGGCAUAUGACAAUAAUUAGAGCAGGCCUCACUGAGAAGGUCUGAUCCCAGAGAGGAUGCAGAAGGAUCAGGAGGGAGCCGGGAGAAUGUUCUGGGCAGAGGGAAAGCUUGAUGGAGACUGGUUUGGAGCUGAAGGAGUAAGAGGGGAGCAGCAGGGGAGGGGUGCCUUUAUUCCACUGUAAGGACUUUGUCUUCAUUUUUAAAUAGGGAGUCGUGGCAAACUCCUUUGUCUAAGUUUCCAGGGAGUGAUGUGUUCAAGCAAGGGAAGAGCAGGCUGCAGAUCCCAGGCCAAUAUAAUCAGCCAAACAACAGAUGGUAGUGGCUUGGAUAAAGGUAGUAGAUGGUAGUAGAGGGUAGUAGUGGAUAUGUAGGAAGUGAUUGGAUUCUAGAUUUUUUUUUUUUAAACUGGGGUUGCCUCACACAUACUAGGCAAACACUCUAUCACUGGGCUAUAUUCCCAGCAUUUCAAAAAAAAUUUUUUUUUUUUUUUUUUAGACAGGGUCUCAUUAAGUCACCCAGUCUGACCUCUAACUUGCAGUCUCCUGACUCAGCCUCCCAAAUCACUGGAAUCACAGGUAUGAGCCACAGGGCCCAGCUCUAGAUACUUAUUUUGAAGGUUGAGCCAGCUUGAUCUGCUGAUAGAUUAGUUGUGGGUGUUAGAGAAGAGUCAAGUUCAGUCCAAAGUUUUGACAAUAGAAAACAGCCAAAAGCUGUAGGAAAAUGGUCGUGACUUGACUUUCUUCCAUCUUCCAAUCUCAAUUGGUACAAACUAAUUCACAUCCAGAACUCUACUGCAAGGGAUUUAGGGAAAUGUUAGUAUUUUGCUUUCUAGCCCCUGAAGUCUAGGUUGACAUUUAUAAAGGAGAAGGAGCCUAGAGGAUGGUGAGUUCUGCCUACCGUAUCCUCUGCAGUUGAGGCACCAGUCCAAAGCUGGAAUGUGGCCCUGUUGUGCUGUCUUCCAAAGGAAAGCAGCCCCCAUAGCUAGACCCACCACACUCAGAGUGACUCACAAACAUUUGCACAAUAUUUUUCACAUGACUUCUUCUGGAAAUGUCUCUUAUGUUGUACCUCAGUACCUAAAUUAGAAGCUUAUCUUUGGACUACAAAAAUUUGCCUAAGCAAUCAUUCCUCAGUUUCUGGAUAUUUAGAUUUUUCUAAUUUUUCACUGUUUUUUAAAAAAUGACGUGAUAAAAACCUUGCUAAAUUGUUGCUGACGUUGUCAACUAUUUUCCUAAGAUUCUUUAUUAAAAAUAGCUUUACUACCCGGGAGUGGUGGUAUGCACCUGUAGUCUCAGGUACUCGGGAGAUUGAAGCAGGAGGAUCAUUUGAGCCAAGUUCCAGACCAACCUGCUGAAAAACACAGCAAGACCCUGUCUCAAAACAAAACAAAACAUCUUUGCUGAGUCAAACUCUGACACUUUUAAGGCUUUUGACAGAUUUUGCCCUCCAGAGUGUUUGCACCUAUUCACAUGCCCAUUAAUAAUGCAUUUGUAAACUUACAUGUGUAAUCAAGAUUCAAUUUUUAAACUAUAUGAACCUUAAAAAAAUGCUCAACCUGCCUUGUGCUCACCCGUCUCUGGGUGGCUGUCUAACCUUCAUCAGCAGGACUGAUGUGCUGAGGACACCCAUUUAUCAGCAGGACUAGUGUGCUAAGGACACCCAGCAACCCAUGGUGGUGUUUCCCAAACUUGUUUUGGGUAGUCAUAUUUACUCUUGUAAUUACAUAAUUUAACUAAGUCAUUAUAUAAACUGAUAAAACUGAGAGCUAAAAGAAAGUCAUUUCUGUCAGAAAUAUGAUAAGUACCUAAUUUUAAGUAAGUAUAUAACUGAUGAAAUAUGAGUGCUAAAAGAAAGAGUUCUUAGUUCUUUGGUACCAAGGAUUGAACUCAGGGGCACUCGACCACUGAGCCACAUCCCCAGCCCUAUUUUGUAGUUUAUUUAGAGACAGGGUCUCACUGAGUUGCUAGUGCAUCGCAGUUGCUGAGGCUGGCUUUGAACUCGCAAUUCUCCUGUCUCAGCCUCCUAAUCUGCUGGGAUUACAGGCAUGCUCCACUGCCCAGCUGAAAGAGUUUUUAGUUCUAUGGAAACUAGGGUAAAUACUUUGGAAACUCAACAAACAUGAGUCACUGAAAAUACUGUUGCAUUCAGUUUAGGCAAUAUGAAUAUAAAUAUAGGAAGGACAUCAUGAACAUCUGGGAUCAUUCUGCACUCAGAUUGCUUCACAAGAUCUCUAAUGCUUUGACUUCUCAAUGCAUUUUUAGAGAAACCAAAAUUGGCGAUCUUAGCAGUGCAUUGCAGAUUCCAUAGAAUGCCAACCAGCAUGCCUAUUUCUUAGAGAAAAAGACUUGUCCCGGCACCAUUGAAUGUCCUUUUUAUGUGUGUUAGGUUAAAAUAUUUAAGACAGAUAUGUUUCUUUUAUUAAGCCAAAGUCUGUUCAAUUUAGAAAAUGGCAUAGGAUCCUCCUAUGUCCUCUGUGACCUCCUGAGUCAUCCCACUCCAGCCACCCAAACCUAUGCUGUUUGUGUCACACAGCAGGCAGGCUCCAUGUUUGGGACUUUUGCAUUCUUUUUCCCACUACCUAGAACCCACUUUCCCCAGGUAUCUUGUUUCUUGAAUUCCUUCAGUUCCUUCAGACUCCCUGACCACCUUUCAUAAAUCAGCAGACUCCCAACCCUGAUGAUCCUUAUGCCUCUUUUCUUGCUUUCUUCUUCUCAAUAGCAUUUGUCAUCAUUUGACUUAUUGUUUCCUUUUUUUUUUUUAAUUUAUUUUUUAGUAUUUGGCAGACACAACAUCUUUGUUUGUAUGUGGUGCUGAGGAUCGAACCCAGGCCGCACACAUGCCAGGCGAGCGCGCUACCGCUUGAGCCACAUCCCCAGCCCUUGUUUCCUUUUUUUAAUCUGGUAUUUCAUCUAGAGCACAAGCUAUAGAGUAGAGAUGGUUUUGUGCAUGACUUUUCCCCCAGUGCUUAAAAUACUUUCUGGCACAUAACAGGCAUCAAAUAAAUGUUGGUUGAAAGAACACAGGCUCGAAGAUUACAUGGGAAAGUUGUGUGUGCUCAAGAAUUUUUACAUUUCUGCACAAACAUGCAAGUGAGAAAGUUGAUAUGACUGGACAGUCUCCUAGAUUCCUCCUAGGGAAAGAAUGCCCAUUACUCUCUAGGGAGAAGAAAGGAUCAGGCUGACCUUGUGGGUAAACCUUUGCACCAGUUUAAUGUACUGUCUUCAUGGUUUCCCCUGGUGAGUGAACAGUUGGCACUGGCGUUAUACACAAAUGUGCUGUGUGCUCAUAAACACCAAAGGGAGUUAUACCAAUCAGGAAUUGCAGCAUAUAGAGAUGUGCUCUUAUCUUCAGGACCCCAGAAUCCUAGUGACUUUGAGCUAAACAUGUUUGGUUGUUCAUUUUCCUGUUUGGAACAUGUGUCCAAGAGAGGCAGUGUCCACCUGAAGUGCCCCUAUAGGGGUGUUGAAUUUGUUACCUCCUUGAUGUGGCUAAGAAGUAAGUAUGCUCCUUUUGAAAAGCAGUUCCUAACUUGCUACUGGGUUUUCAUCAAAACUGAACACCUCACAAUACCUAAACUAUGGAACCAACACAGAUACCCUCAACAGAUGAAUGGAUAAAUAAAAUGUGGUAUAUAUGCACAAUGGAAUAUUAAUCAGCCUUAAAGAAGAAUGAAUUUAUGGCAUUUGCAGGUAAAUGGAUAGAGCUGGAGAAUAUCAUGCUAAGUGAAAUAAGCCUAUCACAAAAAAUAUAAAGGCCCAAUGUUUUCUCUAAUAUGCAGAUGCUAAUUCACAAUGUGGGGUGGCUAGGGGAAAAUAGAGGUACUUUGCAUUAGAGGGGAGCGAAGGGAGGGGAGGAAAGAUAGUAGAAUGAAUCAGACAUUAUUACCUUAUAUGCAUAUUAUGAUUAUACAACCAGUGUAAUUCUACAUUAUGUACAACCAGAAGAAUGAGAUGUUAUGCUCCAUUUAUGUAUGAUGUGUCAAAAUGCAUUCUACCAUCAUGUAUAACUAAUUAGAACAAAUAAAA